rnacentral:rRNA from 1 species
GAAGGUGUUUGGAAGAUGCCGCCGCAGAGGGUGAAAGCCCCGUACACGAAAGGUUGAUUAAUGGGUUGGGAUCCUGAGUAGGGCGGGACCGGCGAAAAUCCUGUCUGAAACUGGCGGCACCAUCCGCUAAGGCUAAAUACUCCUGAGAGACCGAUAGCGAAGUAGUACUGUGAAGGAAAGGUGAAAAGGACCCCAAGAAGGGGAGUGAAAAGACCCUGAAACCGUACGCCUACAAGCGGUCGGAGCUGCACUUCGGUGUAGUGACGGCGUGCCUUUUGCAUAAUGAGCCUACGAGUUACCUUGACAAGCGAGUUUAAGCCCUUCAGGGGCGAAGGCGAAGCGAAAGCGAGUCUUAACAGGGCGAGAGCUUGUUGAGGUAGACGCGAAACCGAGUGAUCUACCCAUGGGCAGGUUGAAGUUCCGAUAAUAUCGGAAUGGAGGACCGAACUGGUAAAACGUUG